CGCGGCCUAUCAGCUUGUUGGUGAGGUAACGGCUCACCAAGGCAUCGACGGGUAGCUGGUCUGAGAGGACGAUCAGCCACGCUGGGACUGAGACACGGCCCAGACUCCUACGGGAGGCAGCAGUAGGGAAUCUUGCGCAAUGGGCGAAAGCCUGACGCAGCAACGCCGCGUGGGGGAUGAAUGCCUUCGGGUUGUAAACCCCUUUCAGCAGGGACGAAAAUGACGGUACCUGCAGAGGAAGCUCCGGCCAACUACGUGCCAGCAGCCGCGGUAAUACGUAGGGAGCGAGCGUUGUCCGGAAUUAUUGGGCGUAAAGAGCUCGUAGGCGGUUCAGUAAGUCGGGUGUGAAAACUCAAGGCUCAACCUUGAGACGCCACUCGAUACUGCUGUGACUUGAGUCCGGUAGAGGAGUGUGGAAUUCCUGGUGUAGCGGUGAAAUGCGCAGAUAUCAGGAGGAACACCAGCGGCGAAGGCGGCACUCUGGGCCGGUACUGACGCUGAGGAGCGAAAGCAUGGGGAGCAAACAGGAUUAGAUACCCUGGUAGUCCAUGCCGUAAACGUUGGGCACUAGGUAUGGGAUCAUAUCAACGGAUUCCGUGCCGUAGCUAACGCAUUAAGUGCCCCGCCUGGGGAGUACGG
rnacentral:rRNA from 1 species